AAUAAGGACUGCUCUCCUUCUGUUUCUAAUUAGCUGAAAAGCCACAAUCACUACAGUAAAAAUGGAUUCUACCUGGGCCGAGGAGCAAAAAGGAAAUUCUCAGAAAUAGAAGCCUGAAUGAAGAAGACAAAGAAUGAAGAGGAGGAAGCCAAGAAAAGUAGAGCUGGAUGCAGAUACUGUUCGUAGAGAGUUUAAUCCUAGAAAUAAACAACUGCUGAGAGCCAGUGGUGAUUGAAAGUAGGAAGAGGAAGAAGACUACAGAAGGCCGUUUCUAGGAAGCUGGGUCCCUAGGCCCUUCAGGAUUUAAAGAGGAGGCUAUCCUGUGACCUAAGGGAAGGUGACACCCCUGGAAUGGCAGAGCACAGUGAUGGAAAGAGCAUGAGUCUUCCCUGAAAUAAGAAACCCAUCUUACCUCAGUUAACAAGGCCAUGUCUGGUCAUGUUCUAAAAAACUGAAUUUACUUUUUAUUUGUAAUCACCAAAAUGCAGAUCUCGUAUUACUCAGAAGGUAAUGUGAUAUGGUGAAAAAGACCAGAACUCUGGAACUAAAAAGCUGGCCUAUCAUACUCAAUUAUUUAACUUCUCUAUGAUUUCAUCUGUAAUAUGUGAUCAUUGAACCACUGCUAUUUAACAUCUGUGAAUAUGAUUAGAAAAUAGUAAAU